GGGGAAUAUUGGACAAUGGGGGAAACCCUGAUCCAGCGACGCCGCGUGUGUGAAGAAGGCCUGCGGGUUGUAAAGCACUUUCGGUGGGAACGAAAUAUGCCGGGCCAAUACCCCGGCAGGCUGACGUUACCCAAUGAAGAAGCACCGGCUAACUCUGUGCCAGCAGCCGCGGUAAUACAGAGGGUGCGAGCGUUAAUCGGAAUUACUGGGCGUAAAGCGCACGUAGGCGGCUUCGUAAGUCGGAUGUGAAAUCCCCGGGCUCAACCUGGGAACUGCAUUCGAGACUGCGAUGCUCGAGUAUGGGAGAGGACAGCGGAAUUCCGGGUGUAGCGGUGAAAUGCGUAGAUAUCCGGAGGAACAUCAGUGGCGAAGGCGGCUGUCUGGCCCAAUACUGACGCUCAGGUGCGAAAGCGUGGGGAGCAAAC
rnacentral:rRNA from 1 species